rnacentral:rRNA from 1 species
UACGUAGGGGGCAAGCGUUGUCCGGAUUUAUUGGGCGUAAAGAGCGUGUAGGCGCCAGACAGGUCCGUUGUGAAAACUCGAGGCUCAACCUCGAGAUGUCGAUGGAAACCGUCUGGCUAGAGUCCGGAAGAGGAGUGUGGAAUUCCUGGUGUAGCGGUGAAAUGCGCAGAUAUCAGGAGGAACACCAGCGGCGAAGGCGGCGCUCUGGGCUGGAACUGACGCUGAGGAGCGAAAGCGUGGGGAGCGAACAGG